rnacentral:rRNA from 1 species
ACGGGUGGUAAUGCCGGAUGCUCCGGUUGGAUGCAUGUCCUUCCGGGAAAGAUCCGUCGGUAUGGGAUGGGGUCGCGUCCUAUCAGCUUGAUGGCGGGGUAACGGCCCACCAUGGCUUCGACGGGUAGCCGGCCUGAGAGGGCGACCGGCCACAUUGGGACUGAGAUACGGCCCAGACUCCUACGGGAGGCAGCAGUGGGGAAUAUUGCACAAUGGGCGCAAGCCUGAUGCAGCGACGCCGCGUGCGGGAUGGAGGCCUUCGGGUUGUAAACCGCUUUUGAUCGGGAGCAAGCCCUUCGGGGUGAGUGUACCUUUCGAAUAAGCACCGGCUAACUACGUGCCAGCAGCCGCGGUAAUACGUAGGGUGCAAGCGUUAUCCGGAAUUAUUGGGCGUAAAGGGCUCGUAGGCGGUUCGUCGCGUCCGGUGUGAAAGCCCAUCGCUUAACGGUGGGUCUGCGCCGGGUACGGGCGGGCUGGAGUGCGGUAGGGGAGACUGGAAUUCCCGGUGUAACGGUGGAAUGUGUAGAUAUCGAAAAAAAAAAACCA